rnacentral:rRNA from 1 species
UACGGAAGGCAGCAGUGGGGAAUAUUGGACAAUGGGCGCAAGCCUGAUCCAGCCAUGCCGCGUGUGUGAAGAAGGCCUUUUUGGUUGUAAAGCACUUUAAGCGAGGAGGAGGCUCUCUUAGUUAAUACCUAAGAUGAGUGGACGUUACUCGCAGAAUAAGCACCGGCUAACUCUGUGCCAGCAGCCGCGGUAAUACAGAGGGUGCGAGCGUUAAUCGGAUUUUACUGGGCGUAAAGCGUGCGUAGGCGGCUUUUUAAGUCGGAUGUGAAAUCCCCGAGCUUAACUUGGGAAUUGCAUUCGAUACUGGGAAGCUAGAGUAUGGGAGAGGAUGGUAGAAUUCCAGGUGUAGCGGUGAAAUGCGUAGAGAUCUGGAGGAAUACCGAUGGGCGAAGGCAGCCAUCUGGGCCUAAUACUGACGCUGAGGUACGAAAGCAUGGGGAGCAAACAGGGAUUAGAUACC